GAUGAACGCUGGCGGCGUGCUUAACACAUGCGAGUCGAACGGUGAAGGCGGAGCUUUCUCUGCUGGAUCAGUGGCGAACGGGUGAGUAACACGUGAGCAAUCUGCCCCUGACUCUGUGAUAAGCGCUGGAAACGGCGUCUAAUACUGGAUACGAGCUGCGAAGGCAUCUUCAGCAGCUGGAAAGAAUUUCGUUCAGGGAUGAGCUCGCGGCCUAUCAGCUUGUUGGUGAGGUAAUGGCUCACCAAGGCGUCGACGGGUAGCCGGCAUGAGAGGGUGACCGGACACAAUGGGACUGAGAAACGGACCAGACUGCAACGGGAGGCAGCAGUGGGGAAUAGUGCACAAUGGGCGAAAGCCGGAUGCAGCAACGCCGCGUGAGGGAAGACGGCCUUCGGGUUGUAAACCUCUUUUAGCAGGGAAGAAGAGAAAGUGACGGUAACUGAAGAAAAAGCGCCGGCUAACUACGUG
rnacentral:rRNA from 1 species